rnacentral:rRNA from 1 species
GAUUAAGUUAUUAAGGGCGCACGGUGGAUGCCUUGGCACUAGAAGCCGAUGAAGGACGUUACUAACGACGAUAUGCUUUGGGGAGCUGUAAGUAAGCUUUGAUCCAGAGAUUUCCGAAUGGGGAAACCCAGCAUGAGUUAUGUCAUGUUAUCGAUAUGUGAAUACAUAGCAUAUCAGAAGGCACACCCGGAGAACUGAAACAUCUUAGUACCCGGAGGAAGAGAAAGAAAAUUCGAUUCCCUUAGUAGCGGCGAGCGAAACGGGAAGAGCCCAAACCAACAAGCUUGCUUGUUGGGGUUGUAGGACACUCUAUACGGAGUUACAAAGGACGACAUUAGACGAAUCAUCUGGAAAGAUGAAUCAAAGAAGGUAAUAAUCCUGUAGUCGAAAAUGUUGUCUCUCUUGAGUGGAUCCUGAGUACGACGGAGCACGUGAAAUUCCGUCGGAAUCUGGGAGGACCAUCUCCUAAGGCUAAAUACUCUCUAGUGACCGAUAGUGAACCAGUACCGUGAGGGAAAGGUGAAAAGCACCCCGGAAGGGGAGUGAAAUAGAACCUGAAACCGUGUGCUUACAAGUAGUCAGAGCCCGUUAAUGGGUGAUGGCGUGCCUUUUGUAGAAUGAACCGGCGAGUUACGAUUUGAUGCAAGGUUAAGCAGUAAAUGUGGAGCCGUAGCGAAAGCGAGUCUGAAUAGGGCGUUUAGUAUUUGGUCGUAGACCCGAAACCAGGUGAUCUACCCUUGGUCAGGUUGAAGUUCAGGUAACACUGAAUGGAGGACCGAACCGACUUACGUUGAAAAGUGAGCGGAUGAACUGAGGGUAGCGGAGAAAUUCCAAUCGAACCUGGAGAUAGCUGGUUCUCUCCGAAAUAGCUUUAGGGCUAGCCUCAAGUGAUGAUUAUUGGAGGUAGAGCACUGUUUGGACGAGGGGCCCCUCUCGGGUUACCGAAUUCAGACAAACUCCGAAUGCCAAUUAAUUUAACUUGGGAGUCAGAACAUGGGUGAUAAGGUCCGUGUUCGAAAGGGAAACAGCCCAGACCACCAGCUAAGGUCCCAAAAUAUAUGUUAAGUGGAAAAGGAUGUGGCGUUGCCCAGACAACUAGGAUGUUGGCUUAGAAGCAGCCAUCAUUUAAAGAGUGCGUAAUAGCUCACUAGUCGAGUGACACUGCGCCGAAAAUGUACCGGGGCUAAACAUAUUACCGAAGCUGUGGAUUGUCCUUUGGACAAUGGUAGGAGAGCGUUCUAAGGGCGUUGAAGCAUGAUCGUAAGGACAUGUGGAGCGCUUAGAAGUGAGAAUGCCGGUGUGAGUAGCGAAAGACGGGUGAGAAUCCCGUCCACCGAUUGACUAAGGUUUCCAGAGGAAGGCUCGUCCGCUCUGGGUUAGUCGGGUCCUAAGCUGAGGCCGACAGGCGUAGGCGAUGGAUAACAGGUUGAUAUUCCUGUACCACCUAUAAUCGUUUUAAUCGAUGGGGGGACGCAGUAGGAUAGGCGAAGCGUGCGAUUGGAUUGCACGUCUAAGCAGUAAGGCUGAGUAUUAGGCAAAUCCGGUACUCGUUAAGGCUGAGCUGUGAUGGGGAGAAGACAUUGAGUCUUCGAGUCGUUGAUUUCACACUGCCGAGAAAAGCCUCUAGAUAGAAAAUAGGUGCCCGUACCGCAAACCGACACAGGUAGUCAAGAUGAGAAUUCUAAGGUGAGCGAGCGAACUCUCGUUAAGGAACUCGGCAAAAUGACCCCGUAACUUCGGGAGAAGGGGUGCUCUUUAGGGUUAACGCCCAGAAGAGCCGCAGUGAAUAGGCCCAAGCGACUGUUUAUCAAAAACACAGGUCUCUGCUAAACCGUAAGGUGAUGUAUAGGGGCUGACGCCUGCCCGGUGCUGGAAGGUUAAGAGGAGUGGUUAGCUUCUGCGAAGCUACGAAUCGAAGCCCCAGUAAACGGCGGCCGUAACUAUAACGGUCCUAAGGUAGCGAAAUUCCUUGUCGGGUAAGUUCCGACCCGCACGAAAGGCGUAACGAUUUGGGCACUGUCUCAACGAGAGACUCGGUGAAAUCAUAGUACCUGUGAAGAUGCAGGUUACCCGCGACAGGACGGAAAGACCCCGUGGAGCUUUACUGUAGCCUGAUAUUGAAAUUCAGCACAGCUUGUACAGGAUAGGUAGGAGCCUUUGAAACGUGAGCGCUAGCUUACGUGGAGGCGCUGGUGGGAUACUACCCUAGCUGUGUUGGCUUUCUAACCCGCACCACUUAUCGUGGUGGGAGACAGUGUCAAGCGGGCAGUUUGACUGGGGCGGUCGCCUCCUAAAAGGUAACGGAGGCGCUCAAAGGUUCCCUCAGAAUGGUUGGAAAUCAUUCAUAGAGUGCAAAGGCAUAAGGGAGCUUGACUGCGAGACCUACAAGUCGAGCAGGGUCGAAAGACGGACUUAGUGAUCCGGUGGUUCCGCAUGGAAGGGCCAUCGCUCAACGGAUAAAAGCUACCCCGGGGAUAACAGGCUUAUCUCCCCCAAGAGUUCACAUCGACGGGGAGGUUUGGCACCUCGAUGUCGGCUCAUCGCAUCCUGGGGCUGUAGUCGGUCCCAAGGGUUGGGCUGUUCGCCCAUUAAAGCGGUACGCGAGCUGGGUUCAGAACGUCGUGAGACAGUUCGGUCCCUAUCCGUCGUGGGCGUAGGAAAUUUGAGAGGAGCUGUCCUUAGUACGAGAGGACCGGGAUGGACAUACCUCUGGUGUACCAGUUGUCGUGCCAACGGCAUAGCUGGGUAGCUAUGUGUGGACGGGAUAAGUGCUGAAAGCAUCUAAGCAUGAAGCCCCCCUCAAGAUGAGAUUUCCCAACUUCGGUUAUAAGAUCCCUCAAAGGUGAUGAGGUUAAUAGGUUCGAGGUGGAAGCAUGGUGACAUGUGGAGCUGACGAAUACUAAUCGAAUCGAAGACUUAAUCAA